AUUGAACGCUGGCGGCAGGCCUAACACAUGCAAGUCGAGCGGAUGAAGGGAGCUUGCUCCUGGAUUCAGCAGCGGACGGGUGAGUAAUGCCUAGGAAUCUGCCUGGGAGUGGGGGAUAACGUCCGGAAACGGGCGCUAAUACCGCAUACGUCCUGAGGGAGAAAGUGGGGGAUCUUCGGACCUCACGCUAUCAGAUGAGCCUAGGUCGGAUUAGCUAGUUGGUGGGGUAAAGGCCUACCAAGGCGACGAUCCGUAACUGGUCUGAGAGGAUGAUCAGUCACACUGGAACUGAGACACGGUCCAGACUCCUACGGGAGGCAGCAGUGGGGAAUAUUGGACAAUGGGCGAAAGCCUGAUCCAGCCAUGCCGCGUGUGUGAAGAAGGUCUUCGGAUUGUAAAGCACUUUAAGUGGGGAGGAAGGGCAGUAAGUUAAUACCUUGCUGUUUUGACGUUACCAACAGAAUAAGCACCGGCUAACUUCGUG
rnacentral:rRNA from 1 species